UACGUAGGGUGCGAGCGUUAAUCGGAAUUACUGGGCGUAAAGCGUGCGCAGGCGGCUUCGCAAGUCAGACGUGAAAUCCCCGGGCUUAACCUGGGAAUGGCGUUUGAAACUACGGAGCUGGAGUGUGGCAGAGGGGGAUGGAAUUCCGCGUGUAGCAGUGAAAUGCGUAGAUAUGCGGAGGAACACCGAUGGCGAAGGCAAUCCCCUGGGCCUGCACUGACGCUCAUGCACGAAAGCGUGGGGAGCAAACAGG
rnacentral:rRNA from 1 species